UGUCUGGGCAAUAACCACCUG
rnacentral:misc_RNA from 1 species